CACUGUCUUACCCCCCCCCCUACCCUCCACCCCUCCGCCCAAAGAUUCUCUUUUAAAUUGUAAUUAUGGUUAUAUGUUUCUGAGUGUGAGUUUGUGAAGAUGACUGCAGUACACAUGGAGCAAGUCAUUGAGCUCUUGAGGUAUCAGAGCAGGAAUGAACGCACAUGAAGAGCAAUGAGAUGCCCCCCCACCAUCCAUUUUUAAUACAGUUAGUUGUGAGAAGAGGCUGUGCUCAGAAACUCAAGAAAGACAAAAGCCAGCUGCUAUGUUAUGAGAAGCCUUGUGGAGAGACCCAUGGAGCAAGAAGUGAGGGACCCCCACCCCUCAAAUCCUGGGAGGAAGUGAGUUCUGCUAACAACUAUUCAAAUAGCCUUGGAAGCAGAUCCUGUCCGUCAGGAACUGAGUCUCCUCUAGCUCUGGACGACAUCUUAGUUGCAGUCAGAGGAUUCUGAGUUGGAGGAUCUGUCUAACCCAAGUUUGAUUCUUUUUGAUAUAGGAAUGGCGAGUUAAUAAAUGCUAACUGUGUUAAAAUGCAAGGUUUCAGAGCAA